AGAUGCAAGGGUGAUCUGACUGCAAAGUCUGUCAUCCUUUGAUUGUCAUGGUUGAUUCUGCUGGUCUGGUUGGCUAGGCAGGUGUCCCCUUCCUCCCUGACCACUCCACUUGCCUCCCUCCCUAAACCGUGUGUUCCUUCCAUCAAGAGUAUAAGAAUAGUUGUGCUCCCCUGCUGCAACUUCCAAACAAGCUCUCAAGGAGUACAUUUUUCAAGUAUACUGAUAGACAAGACUAUUGUUGGAUACAGUCCAAUUAGAUUUCAAAGAGUUUGAUU
ensembl:misc_RNA 7SK 7SK RNA